rnacentral:lncRNA from 1 species
AUCACUUUUAGGAUUGAGUAGAGUAAUCUGAGUGAAUAAGAAAGACUAGAAGUGAUUUAGAAGAGAUUUGAGUAUGAAAUGAGAUUAAGAGUCUAGUAUAGAACCAUUGAGAGACUAAAAGACUAAGAGAGACUCAUAACUUGCUUACUUUGAUUAAUGACAUGAGUUUACAAUAUAUAGAGAGGCGACAUUAGAGACUAGGGUUUAGGAAACUACACUAUUACAAG